UCUCUCUAUCUCUCUCUCACGCUCUCUCUCUCUCAAAUAAAUAAAUAAAAUCUUUUUGAAAAAAAGGGAAAUCAGAGACUAUUGACAUUCAUGUAUUAGACUAAAUGAAUCAGCACAGUAGUAUGGCCGAUACAUAUAUUUCUAUAAACAAAACAUAGAAAUCAUUAGAAGACAAAUACUGUAUUUGAAUUCAGACAAUGAUAAAUUUCUUGUAUAAACCUCUAGUAAUCAUGGGGAUCCCUUGGUAGCUCAGUGGUUUAGCGUCUGCCUUCGGCCCAAGGCAUGAUCCUGCAGUCCCAGGAUCGAGUCCCACAUCCGGCUCCCUGCAUGGAACCUGCUUCUCCCUCUGCCUGUGUCUCUGCCACUCUGUGUCUCGCAUGAAUAAAUAAAUGAAAUCUUAAAAAACAAACAAACAAAAAAACCUCUAGUGAUCAAGAAAAAACUGGGAAAAUAUUGACUUCAAUUAGUUUUAUUCUUUAGUUGAUUUAUCACUGGAAACAAUUUCUUUCCUUUUAAUUGAAUACAGUAAUUUAAAUCAAGUAUAUUGUCACAAACACAUUGAUCUUCUCUUAACUAGCAAAAUAAAUUUAUGUAGUUAAAAACAAAAUACAGUUUUUCUUGUAAGGUUGGUUACAUAUUGCUCCUUUAUUUUAGCUAUCCAUCUCACAAAUUUCUGCAGGUUCUCAUGGGUGGCAAAAGAAUGGUUGAUGCCUCUGUGUGAUCCAUCUACAUAGAAAGUAAACACUUGCUAUAUUCUGUUAGGAGUCACAAACAUGUUUGGCUUCAUCAUGAUAUGGUUCCUAAUAUAUAUAUUUUCAUUUCAUUGUUUGGCUUCAUCAUGAUAUGGUUCCUAAUAUAUAUACUUUCAUUCUUUUCAUGCAUCUUAGUUACUAAUUGAUUAUGAUGUAUUUUGCAUUCAUUUUAUCAUAUCAUGUUUGAUUUUGAUAUAUUUCCUUUUUGUUUUUAAACACUUUUAGCUGUACAUUUUGUUAACUACACAUGUGAUUUAAACCCAGGAGUAAUUAGAGCAUAUUUCAAAUAUGCCACUUUAUUAAGUGUGAAUUUUAAAGGGAGGAUUAUAUAAGCAACAUAGUAAUUGUACUUUUUUGAAUAUUCUAACUUUAUAUUAGGAGGUAAAAUGAUAAGAAUAUAAAAACCUUGGUAACUAAUCCACAAAGAAAUAAAGUUGUUUGUUUUUUUGUCCUUCCUGUGCAAUGCCAAAUAGGAAAAUAGUCAAUAAUUCUUCUCCAGAAACAUUUGCUCUGUGUCCCAGAUUUAUGUCUGGAUGUUUACUUGGUUUGCAUCAUUCUCAAGAGAUAUGGCUUAUUAGAGCCACUCGAUGGAAGUCAUAGAAAUCUAAUGACAAUUGUUUGUUUUUCCCAAAGAACUACUUCCUAAUGAUUAUUAUUCAACCCUGCAGUAUUAAAAUGAUAUGUUCAGCUCUAGAGGAGAUUUUUAAAAAAUUAUUUCUUUUAUGUUGAUGCCUGUUAUAGAAUAAAUGUCAAAUUUUCUGACCUAUAGUAGAUGUUUAGAAGCAGAUC
rnacentral:lncRNA from 1 species